UGGUGCCUUCGGGAACUGUGAGACAGGUGCUGCAUGGCUGUCGUCAGCUCGUGUUGUGAAAUGUUGGGUUAAGUCCCGCAACGAGCGCAACCCUUAUCCUUUGUUGCCAGCGAUUCGGUCGGGAACUCAAAGGAGACUGCCAGUGAUAAACUGGAGGAAGGUGGGGAUGACGUCAAGUCAUCAUGGCCCUUACGACCAGGGCUACACACGUGCUACAAUGGCGCAUACAAAGAGAAGCGACCU
rnacentral:rRNA from 1 species